GAUGAACGCUGGCGGCGUGCCUAAUACAUGCAAGUCGAGCGAACGGACGAGAAGCUUGCUUCUCUGAUGUUAGCGGCGGACGGGUGAGUAACACGUGGAUAACCUACCUAUAAGACUUGGAUAACUUCGGGAAACCGGAGCUAAUACCGGAUAAUAUUUUGAACCGCAUGGUUCAAAAGUGAAAGACGGUCUUGCUGUCACUUAUAGGUGGAUCCGCGCUGCAUUAGCUAGUUGGUAAGGUAACGGCUUACCAAGGCAACGAUGCAUAGCCGACCUGAGAGGGUGAUCGGCCACACUGGAACUGAGACACGGUCCAGACUCCUACGGGAGGCAGCAGUAGGGAAUCUUCCGCAAUGGGCGAAAGCCUGACGGAGCAACGCCGAGUGAGUGAUGAAGGUCUUCGGAUCGUAAAACUCUGUUAUUAGGGAAGAACAUAUGUGUAAGUAACUGUGCACAUCUUGACGGUACCUAAUCAGAAAGCCACGGCUAACUACGUG
rnacentral:rRNA from 1 species